rnacentral:rRNA from 1 species
GACGAACGCUGGCGGCGUGCUUAACACAUGCAAGUCGAACGGAAAGGCCCUGCUUUUGUGGGGUGCUCGAGUGGCGAACGGGUGAGUAACACGUGAGUAACCUGCCCUUGACUUUGGGAUAACUUCAGGAAACUGGGGCUAAUACCGGAUAGGAGCUCCUGCUGCAUGGUGGGGGUUGGAAAGUUUCGGCGGUUGGGGAUGGACUCGCGGCUUAUCAGCUUGUUGGUGGGGUAGUGGCUUACCAAGGCUUUGACGGGUAGCCGGCCGGAGGGGGUGACCGGGCCACGGGGGGGCGGCAUGAGGCCAUGUGCUCGGAGGGGGGCGGGGGGUGGAAAAUUGGCAAGAAGGGGGGGACGCUUGCGGGACGACUGCCGGGGGUGGUAGGUUGGGUUUCGGGUGUCAUCCCGUUUGGGAGUGUGAGGAAGAGGGAUGCAGGGGAAUGGGAAAGAAACCACCGGCAAACUAAGUGCCAGGAGCGGAGUUAAUAGUCGGAAGGGCGGGGUCUGAUC